rfam:Salmo salar isolate Sally breed double haploid chromosome ssa03, whole genome shotgun sequence.
GCUGCGAUGGCCAAGUGGUUAAGUCUUUGGGCUUGAAAUCCAAUGGGCUCUCCCUGCGCAGGUUCGAACCCUGCUCGCAGCG